rnacentral:snRNA from 1 species
AUACUUACCUGGCAGGGGAGGUACCAUGAUCACGAAGGUGGUUUUCUCAGGGCAAGGCUUAUCCAUUGCACUCCGGAUGUGCUGACCCCUGCACUUUCCCCAAAUGUGGGAAACUCGACUGCAUAAUUUGUGGUAGUAAGGGACUGUGUUUGCUCUUUCCCCUG